rfam:Daphnia pulex DAPPTscaffold_13596_Cont18624, whole genome shotgun sequence.
GGUCCUAUGGCCCAAUGGCUAAGGCGCCUGACUACGGAUCAGGAGAUUCCAGGUUCGAAUCCUGGUAGGAUCG